rnacentral:rRNA from 1 species
GACGAACGCUGGCGGCGUGCUUAACACAUGCAAGUCGAGCGGUAAGGCCCUUUCGGGGGUACACGAGCGGCGAACGGGUGAGUAACACGUGGGUGACCUGCCCUCAGCUCUGGGAUAAGCCCGGGAAACUGGGUCUAAUACUGGAUAUGACUCCAUGACGCAUGUUGUGGGGUGGAAAGCCUUGUGCGGCUGAGGAUGGGCCCGCGGCCUAUCAGCUUGUUGGUGGGGNGAUGGCCUACCAAGGCGACGACGGGUAGCCGGCCUGAGAGGGCGACCGGCCACACUGGGACUGAGACACGGCCCAGACUCCUACGGGAGGCAGCAGUGGGGAAUCUUGCGCAAUGGGCGAAAGCCUGACGCAGCGACGCCGCGUGAGGG